rnacentral:rRNA from 1 species
AAUGAACGUUGGCGGCGUGGAUUAGGCAUGCAAGUCGCGCGAGAAAUUUCCUUCGGGAAAUGGACAGCGGCGGAAGGGAGAGGAAUAAGUAGAAAUCUGCCCUCGGGACGGGGAUAGCGGUGGGAAACUGCCGGUAAUACCCGAUAACAUCUUUGGAUCAAAUGGUGUGAUUCCGCCUGAGGAUGAGUCUACUUCCUAUUAGCUAGUUGGUGGGGUAAUGGCCUACCAAGGCAACGAUGGUUAGCGGGUGUGAGAGCACGACCCGCCUCACUGGGACUGAGACACUGCCCAGACACCUACGGGUGGCUGCAGUCGAGAAUCUUCGGCAAUGGGGGAAACCCUGACCGAGCGACGCCGCGUGCGGGAUGAAGGCCCUUGGGUUGUAAACCGCUGUCGUAAGGGAACAAAUCCAUAGGGGUACUCCCCUAUGGUUGAGUGAUCUUAGGAGGAAGGACGGGCUAAGUUCGUG